rnacentral:lncRNA from 1 species
AUACUCUACGGUUGGCAUUUCCAGUCCAGUAACUUCAACAGAACAAAGCUCACAAGGCAGGUCAGAACUGACAAUGAGACAACUUGAUAGCUUUGGGAAAAUCCGAAUGAAACUACCCGUCUAUUGAACGACUCAUUGAUUCUUCUGAGGUGAAUCCGCUUAGAGCCAAAUGGCUAUAGGAAAUCAGUUCAUAUAUUCUGGCUGAAGGCAAUUCGGAAUGAGACUGCUUCCUUCAGGAUUUAACACAGGUUUCCAGAAUUUCUGCUAAACUGAGAGAUCUUUGUAAUGCAAAUAUAAAUGGUGGGAGUCCACAGAGCAAAUUUAUAUUUAGCCCCAACCAUGAAUGUGUCCAGUAUCAUUCAAUUUUAUUACAAGGAACCUAUGUCCCUAAUCCCAGUGAAUGUGGAGGGGUGAUUGUACUUCCAGAAAGGGAGUUGAAUUAUGCUACCAUUCGUGGAGAACACCAGGUUUUGCUAGUGAAUCACAUUAUGAAAUCUGCAACCAUGAAAGACCCAUUUGUUGCAUUAUCCAUAAAAGAAAUAAAAGUGAUAACUAACAUGGAAGCUAAACUGGAGGCUAAUAAUGAAGGAGUCCGUAAAGGAGGCCAGUGCCACCAGGGUUAUCUCCUAGCUCCAGAUGCUGGAUAA